ACGUCUGAGAAUGAUUCAGGCCACGUGUCUGAUGUGAAACCCAAUAUCAAACCCUAAACCUACUACACCCCAUACACCGGAACGAUGAAAGAGAUCAGAAAGGAGACAGAGAAAGGUAGUCGGCCAUGUCCCGUGUGUGUGCCGGAACGGCGGCGUUGCCUAUCACUGGUGGUGUGGUGGUGGUUAGAGAGAUUAUCAGUGUGUGGUGGUGUCGGAUUCAGGGUGCGAUUCCGGUGGUGACGGAAUCAGGGUGCGGUUCCGGUGGUGAUUAGCGGCGUGGAGAAGAUGCUAGGGUUCCGGUGAAGGUCCGACAAAGUUACGGCACCACGGGUGUCGGGAUCAACAUGAACAAACGACACCACGGGUGUCGGGAUCUCUGCCGGUGAGAGAUCUGAAUGUUUUACGGUUCCGACGAAGUCAGCUUAGCUCCGGUGAGAACCUGCUUUCCUGAACCAGAUUAGUAUUUAUGAAAAGGGGGAACACAUCCGGCAAACGCAAUAGGUUGUGGUGUCAUCUAGAGGGCGGUGUUCAUCAUCAAUCGGUGGUGUUCGAUUGUUUAUUAGGGCAGUGGUAAGUGGAAUUGGUACUAAAGCAAUCGAUUGGUUCUGUUCAAUGGUUUAGGGCAGUGUGCAUCACUGUUGUUUGGUCUCUAUGUUCUGAAUUAGUUGCGCGUGAUGUGGAAACAAAAAUGAUGCUUCCAGCAUUUUUCAUGAACAAUAUACAGAGAUUGUGCGUUAUAUUUUGGUCUCAACAACAUUUGUCAUGAACAAGGAGUCAACUGAUCGGAGUUUGACUGAAUCUGAGUUUUCGACAGUACUUUAUGCUAUUCACGAGGUUGUAAGCAUUAACAAUAAGAUCUGGACGACUUUCAAACCUUUUUACUCAUUUUGACUUGACGCAUUUGAGAUAUAAUACAACGCAAUUCAGCCAAUCUCGGACGGUGACCGGAAAAUGUUUAAUUUUGUGCGGGUGAGGUAUCAGCUAUUCUCUUACCAUAAAACUCUCAAAAUCAUGCUCCCAAAGAUAACUGCAGGUGGUUCUCUAUCUAAUAUAUUAGAUCAGUGUAUGUAUGUUUUGCCAUAUGUAUGUGACUUUAAAACAUCUCUAAUUUUGUUAUUAAAACCCAAUAUUAAUCCUCUUUGUGCCUCACAGUAUCGCGCCAUGAGACUUGGUUGGGUUGGAUUGUAUUUUCGUGGCUUGCUUCCACCUCUCUUUGAAGAGUAAAUUACAUAUCUUUUUUAUUUGUUUCUGUUCAUUAUUCACAAAGUACACAACUUCACUCUUAGUCACUUGUGCAGAGGUAACAGUUAUACUGGUCAUAGUAAUUCACCUGUUUACACAAUGCAUAACACUUAUUUGUUAAAUCGUAUCACCAAAUAUAAAAUCAAUGUCGCAUGAUUCUGCUUAGGGAUGCCCCAAUGGUUGAUUAGUGAUGGAAGGGGGAGUUGUUCGACGCUGGGUUUAAGGGCGGUUUGUGGUGGACAUGGUGGUUGGAGAUACGACAGUCACUGGCACCGUUUUCUAUGACCAAUGCAAAGAUGGCCAGUUUGAUGCUCAAGAUUAUCCUCUUGGUGGUGAAGACAUUAGCGACACAAAGAAGACUAGGUGCCCGGACGUGUGAAGUAAAAAACUUUUGUGAUCUACGUAUAAACGGAAGACUAUGUAAAUGUUAAAACCGUACUUCUAUAAUUCUCUAAUAUGUCACGUAUAAGUAAAAUGUUCAAACCGUGAAUGAUUCGGUUUAGCGUGUUGCAACGCGAGCGUGGGUAUAAACCUAGUUUACUCAAAAGUAAACAUUGAAGUAUCACAUGUGUAGAUAUUUAUUUUUUAUUUUGUUUAAUGAUAAAAGUAUAGAGCAACAGGACCACAAAGCUGUAUAUUCGUUGAAA